GGCGCUCUGUUUGCUUUGAUAGUCUUGACAACCCAUAACCUAUUCUGAAAUUUCAUUGGUGUGCCGGGUUUGGGUUUGUCACUUUUCACAUCAGGGUGUUGGUGAACCAAUUCUCCCUCCUUAUCUGCCUCCUGAUGAUCUUGUUCUCCUAGUACAAAUUUUAUCCUGCACAUACUAAAGAACACUGCACUAGAGCACAUAAUUAG
rnacentral:lncRNA from 1 species